UACGAAGGGGGCUAGCGUUGUUCGGAAUUACUGGGCGUAAAGCGCGCGUAGGCGGCCAAGCAAGUCAGAGGUGAAAGGCCUGGGCUUAACCCAGGAGUGGCCUUUGAGACUGCAUGGCUUGAGAGUGGGAGAGGAUGGUGGAAUUCCCAGUGUAGAGGUGAAAUUCGUAGAUAUUGGGAAGAACACCGGUUGCGAAGGCGGCCAUCUGGCCCACCACUGACGCUAGAGCGCGAAAGCGUGGGGAGCAAACAGG
rnacentral:rRNA from 1 species